ensembl:snRNA U6 U6 spliceosomal RNA
UUGCUUCCACAGCACACAUACUAAAAUUAGUAAAGCACAGAGAAAAUUGGUGUGACCACUGUGCAAGAAUUUCACACAAAUUUAUGAAGUGUUCCAUAUUUUC